CAUGAACAAACAGCAGCACAAAGGGAACUCCAUGGAUGGUGAAGAGUACUUCAAUGUCUCUCCCCUCUUUUUUUCCUGUAUCUCCCUCCACCUCUUUCUCUCUCUCUCCAUAUUGAUCUUCUCUUUUUCUCAUGGGACAAGUCUCUCUUCUCCUCAACAUUUUUUUUUUCCAGUCAGAAUUAUACUAUAGGGGAAGACAUAAGUAGAACUCAUAAAGAUAUUAGUUUCCAGCUAUCUUUUAUAUUCCUUUGCCUGGAAUUGUCCAAAGACACUAAGGUAAAUCAGAAAUUUUUGUGGAAAGUAUGGGCUUCUAGAUAUAUAGCAUCAGUAAUUUGUUGGUUCAGGGGAGAAUAUACAUCAAAGAAUGGAGGAAGAAAAAAGAGAUAGCUAGAUCAAGUUUCUAGUCUUGAAAUUUAAGGCUGUUAUUUUGUGUUUAUGUCCUCCUGGGCCACAUCUUCUAGUUCAUCUGAAAUAAGAGCACAGUACUGGGUGGGGCAUGUGACUAAUGUUACAGGAGGAAGACAUUUCUUUUCAAGCCCACAGAUAUUGCAUAAUGCUUGUGAAGACAACAAACAAUCAAGUAUUUGCAACAUCCUAAGGAAUUCCUGUACAAACUCUGACUAAAGCCUUCAGUCUCUGCUAGGACACUUCAAACGUUUCCUUUUUAAGGAGUUUUGUCAGCAUUCUUCAUAAAACAUGACCUCUUAACUGUUGGCAGAAAAAAACACAUGGAGAUGAAGACUCAUGCUCAAAUUGUGGGGAGGCAGUCAGUCACUUAAAUUCAAAGCCAAAACUUUAGAUAAGGAAAAAGUGAUUUUAAUGAAGCAAUUAAAAGCUUUAACCUUGAUCUACCACACCUCUGAAGCUUUGCUUUUCUGAACCAAGCAGAAGCAAAUCGAAAGGCCAUUGUAGCAUGAAGUAACUCAGAUAAAGUUCACAUUAUCAUUGAAUGCAAACAUGUGGACACAGUCCUGAAGCGAACACCACAAUGGAAAUAGUAAAUAGAGUCAUCAUACUCAAGAUUUCUUUGUAAGUUUGCCCUUGGGAGAAGUCCAUUAUAAUGAGAGAACAUAAGUCAAAGGAGAAGAUGGCACCCAGAGAGAGGGCAAGGACUGCUCAAAGGAGAUUGGAUACCCUUCUGUAUGAGAUCUUCGGUGACAGAGAGGGCUGGCAUAAAGAUGAGCAUUUCCCUCGGAAUACCUAAUUUCAAGUUUCCUAAUAUCUAAUAUGGUAUCAAGAAAUUGGCAGAGGCCGCCAGCAAGAGAAGAAAACAGUUUAUGCUAAUGUGGAGCAGGAACCUCAACAAUGAUGAGCACUUAUUUUAGAUGCCCCUAUUACCCUUUUUCCUUCACUCAAGCUGAGAGACUUUAGAUCCAGAAAGAAGGGGAAGAUGAUGUAGUAGUCCUCUCCCCAUUCUUGUAACUUGAAGCACACAUUUGGAAAGAUAUCUUUUUGAAACUUGAUAUGAGACUGAAAUUGUAAACUAAAGUGUUGUGACGCUGAACAUGGCUUUUUGUAACUGAUAUUGCUAGAAAAAUUAUGGGAUUUGUCUGGAGAUGGCAUUAGGAGAUGAAACUGAGUAACUGGACAGAACAUUAGUAGCUGCAAUGCAGAGAGAAAACAACCUGAUCCAUAUCUAUGCUUCAAUGAGUUGAGACAUCUCAAUAAACUGCUUGUAUUUGGUCUGCUAACAGUGGCCACCAAAUAUUG